rnacentral:rRNA from 1 species
GACGUAGGAGGCGAGCGUUGUCCGGAUUCAUUGGGCGUAAAGAGCACGCAGGCGGUUUGGCAAGUCGGAUGUGAAAACCCGAAGCUCAACUUCGGGCCUGCAUCCGAAACUGCCCGACUAGAGGUAGGUAGGGGAGAUCGGAAUUCCUGGUGUAGCGGUGAAAUGCGCAGAUAUCAGGAGGAACACCGGUGGCGAAGGCGGAUCUCUGGGCCUUACCUGUCGCUCAGGUGCGAAAGCUAGGGGAGCGAACAGG